UCUCCGUUGGUGAACCAGCGGAGGGAUCAUUACCGAGUUUACAACUCCCAAACCCAAUGUGAACCAUACCAAACUGUUGCCUCGGCGGGGUCACGCCCCGGGUGCGUCGCAGCCCCGGAACCAGGCGCCCGCCGGAGGGACCAACCAAACUCUUUCUGUAGUCCCCUCGCGGACGUUAUUUUUACAGCUCUGAGCAAAAAUUCAAAAUGAAUCAAAACUUUCAACAACGGAUCUCUUGGUUCUGGCAUCGCUGAAUAACGCAGC
rnacentral:misc_RNA from 1 species